rnacentral:rRNA from 1 species
UGUAAGCGUAUACCAAAGUUGUUGCAGUUAAAACGCUCGUAGUCGGAAUUUGGCAGUUCCGGAUGUGUGCACGUCGUGUGCGCACUUCGCGGGGAUUGCUUUUGUGGUCUUGCGUAGGAUGAGGCACUUUUAUUAGUGAACGUCCUCACGCAACCACUUUUUACUGUGAGAAAAUCAGAGUGCUCAAAGCAGGCAUUUGCCGUGAAUGUAUUAGCAUGGAAUAAUAGAAUAGGACUUGGUUCUAUUUUGUUGGUUUGUUGGGACUGAGUAAUGAUUAAGAGGGACAGUUGGGGGCAUUUGUAUUUCGGUGCUAGAGGUGAAAGUCUUAGAUUACCGAAAGACAAACUGCUGCGAAAGCGUCUGCCAAGGAUGUUUUCAUUGA